AUGAAAAAAUGCGAGACCCUAGAGCAGAGUUUAACAGAGAAAGAAUCCGAACUCGCCAGGUCUUAUCAGGCCGUGUGCGAUGCUCGUGGGGAAACCCAAGACGCCCUACAAGAGAUCCAAGAGGCGAGGGAGAUCACGGCGGGGAUAUUUGCGGAACUUCCUCGCAGCAUAUCGGAUGCCGCCCAAUUCUACCGAGCCGAAGAGGGGAAUACUGUGGAUAAGCUCUUCUGGCCGCAGUAUCUGGCACAAAAUUAUCCGGUGCCUUUUACCGAUCAACUGAAACAGCUGAUCAAACUGCAUAAGGCGGCCGAACUAGCCAUAAAGGAUUUGAUUAUCCGGCUAUGA
rnacentral:rRNA from 1 species